rnacentral:tmRNA from 1 species
CUAAGCAUGUAGUAGAUUGCCGGCUCGCGGUUCUGGACGGGGGUUCGAUUCCCCCCAUCUCCACCA